rnacentral:lncRNA from 1 species
CCCCACACCCCGCCCCCUGCCCUUCCCGAGGGCAGCAGCCGCGGCGGCCCGGAGAUAGCGCUGGCGCGGCGCGGGCUCUGCCUGGGCUAGUGGCACCGACUUGGGCAGAAACUAGUGACAUCCUAGCAGCCAGGAGGAAAGUGUGCUGGGGGAGAUACACACUUCUCCCAGCAGUGAAAUGAGCUCUCUGGACUCAGGCACGCCGAAGGUUGCUUAGAACCCUGGGUCUCCAUCUCUCUUGUGCCCAUUGCACAGCGCAGACUCGCGGCUCACCCACGGGAAAGACAGAGAACGCUCUGACCCCAGCACAAACAGACAUCCACGAUAUCUCGAUCCUAAUUAGUGGAGUGGCCUCGAUGAGCAGAGGAGAGGCCCGAGCUUUUCUGCUCAUAUGCCACAACUUUAAAGAGGAUGGUAUUCCUCCAAAACCUCCCUAAACUCCCCAGGUUCUGAAGCAAACUGCAACAGCACAAGUGCGGCUAGAAGAGAGAAAGGGAGCUUUCGUGCAAUUGCAAGGUGUCCACGGCGGGUCCUUCUCAAAGGAAGGUGUUAAAAAUAUAAGUAGUAUGUUUAAACUGUCAGGGAUCCAAAGUGUCACGUUAGAGCAAAAACAAAGCCAGGGGGAAAAGGAGAAAUCAAAAAACACUUCGGGCCAGGGUGGCCUCAUGCAUACCAAUGGUUUUUGUCAUUUAUGGCUGGGCAAGAUUUAUGACUCGGCGCCCCAAAGCUGUAAACAGAGCGCAAAACAGCAAACACUUGUUCCUUAUGGCACAUUGCGGCGGCGCAACUUGAAAGGGGGAACCGGGCCGCGUAGGAGGUGAGAGCCAGCCGCAAAAAUCCGCUGGGCGGCUUUUUCUCUUCAAACCUGCCGGGUUCGGAUGUGGGAUUUGAAGAAAGAAGGCGUGGGUCAAUAAUCAACCCGCACUUUCUCCUCCAAACUGCUGACGCGACUCUCAGCGCCUUCUCAGCUAAACCAGCUGCAGGGGAGGCCAGCUCUCCGUGAGAACCAGCCCCAGGGAAGGGAUCGUCUGGGCGGAGGAUAUGCGAGCUAGGGCUGGGGCUCCCGGAGCGCAUACCUUUCCAGAGCGCCAAGACCAAGCCGCGCAAACCGCAAGGACUGAACCUGAGGAGCCAAGGGAGAUCUGAGCAGGAAGCUCAUCUGGGCCCAGGCCUCAGCCCUCCCCUAACUAGGUGGCUUCUGGGCUUCGGGCCGCCUGGAAGAAGUGGGGCUCAGACUUCCAGUCUAAGAUCUGGCGUCCCGGCUCGAAGACUGCCGGUGGCCCUGCCUCAUGACUCUGCUGAAAUCCAAAGGACUGGCUUUGGAGCAGAUGAAAUGAUUAAAAAUACUUUAUAACGGCGGAAGGUUUUCGUUGGUUGGUUAUUCUUUUUAAAGAGAAAAUACCUUUUUGAUUUCUGCUUCCAGACAUUACCCACCACAGCUGUGCCCUUUCUAGGCAAAUUCCGCAGCAGUUCACCCGGCUCCUCCAAACCCACCAAGCCUUUCUUUGGAGAGGACAGGGUGGAUCCCCGAACUUCCUUAGGUCCCCAUGUUUCCUGAUCUCUCAUCCAAGAGAACUAGAAGAAAAGUUUAUCAGCAGUAGAAGAAUAUUUGGAGCAGCAAAGGUGCCUGAUGGUUCCUUUCUACAUCAAGAGGGUGUCCUGCAUAUCUCUGAGAGGGCCUCAAAGCUCCAAGACCAUCUGUACAGCCAGAGAGGAAGGAAAGGAAAACAUUGAGACAGAAGAAGACUGGAUCUUUUCCCAUAGGAAGAACCAUGAUCAGCCCUGUUGAAAGACUGCAGAAGACCCACUACUUGUGAAGGCCCACACAUUGGAAAUAUGGGAACUUCUCUCCUGCCACAGAGAACAAAAGGAUCAGAGAAACUGAAAAGCACAAGGCGAUAAGGCAAGUUUUCUCAACCAAGAACCAGGACUGGUGACAAUUUCCAAAGAAACAGUUGCCUUGGUGGACAAGCAGCUGGGCCCACGCAGUAGAUGCCAGGCCCAUGGCCUCUACUUGCUUUUACCUUACAGUUCCCCAGUGGUUUGUUUGGGACUUGCAGGAAAAAACAAACACAUCCCCUCUGCCUCUUCUAACCCCAUCUUUGGCUUCUGCAACCACUCUCCUCCUGCCCAUUACUGGCUUUGGGGCAGAUUCUUUGUCUGCCUAAAGCCUCGCAUUGUCCUGAGUGCAGCUGAAGGUAACCCAGCUCCAAAACUUCUCUGAAGUUAAAUAUUGACCAGAACCUCUUUCAACCUGCUGUAGUUGCCAGGGGCUGGUAGGGCAAACUCUUCCUAACUGAGUGGUGCAAAGUCCCUGAGAAGAGUUUUGGCUCAUUGCUUACCUCCAAAGAUGUUUAAAUCUGGACCAGGAAUUGUUUUUAGCUCCAGGCACUCAGGGAAUCCUCUUAUCCCGUGUCCAGGCACUCUACAGACAAAUAAACAGCAGGGGGUGAAUGGUGGCUGCAAGGGAAGGGAGUUGGAGGACUGGAGUUGGAAAUGUGGCCUGAGCAGGCACCAGGAUGGUCCCAGGGGUGACGCGGGCACGGAGGAGUCACCAGGGCACUCGUCCAUGCGAUGGCACUCGUAGCUAGAAAUGUUCCAGUCUACAAAUGACCCGAAGAUGGUGAUUUAUUUUUGUAAAAUAAAUACAUACUCCAUCUCCUCCGCACCCACACUCUCUCCUUUUUCAUUCUUUUAUAGGGGAGCGGGGAGAAAAAUGGACUAGAUGACAGAGGAAGAUAGGAAGGAGGUGGAAGAGGCUUUGCUGUUGGUGUGGACUCAGCUAGGAGGGCUCCUCACGCACCACAACUUGGGGAAUGUGAAUGCAUGCUUUAUUUUCUUUUGCUAACAAAGGGAAGCCUUGUCUGGAAGCAUUCAAUCAUGGACUCUCCCGAAACCUCACUAAUAGUGUUCAUUUCUGUUGGCGCGAAAUCAGACUCAGGCUCAGUCCACAGACCAGAGGCAGUUUGGGAGGUUUUGUCCUCUGUUUCAUUCAAGCGCUGGGCGGGCCACUUCUUGGUCCUACUGGGCUGGCAGGCCAGCUACUGUUGCUGGAAACUGGGCAAGACUAGGGCAGGUCACUGGACAAUACUCCAUCUGGUUCUGCUUUGCCUUGUGUAGCAAUCAGGAAUCACAAAAUGCCUUGAUUUUGCUGUAAUCUCCCACCUCACAAUAUUUGCAACCCUCUCUAGAGCUCUGUCAGCAAAUCUGACCCUGGAACCCUCAGCCAACUUUCUGGGGGCAGGAGACCCUGGGGAAGGAGAAGAGAAUCUACUGGUGAGUUCUGCUGGGACUUUAUGGGGCAUUGUUUUUAUAGCCCUAACCCUGAAUCCACCAGCCCUUUACCCAAACCUAGGUAACCUCCCAGACUCUGACCUGCUCCAUAACAGCCUUCUUCUGUCUCUCCUGCAUCCAUGUGAGAGGGGAUACCAAAUAGCUGACAAGUCCUCUGACUCCUGGCUUCAGAAUACCGAACAAGUGGAAGCAAACUUACAACUGUCUUCUGCCACAACUCCACCUGAAGCCUUUAACCUCCAUCCCUGCUUGAGACUCAGAAUCCACGCUGGGCCCUUUUCCCUUCUUCAAACUUGCCCUUCCUGUCUUGAAAGGGAGAGCCCCCAGCCUUGGAGCUCCUGGCAUGAGCCCGAGUUGAGUGGGGAUUAGACAUCCUGCACUUUGCUGCUCAAUUUCGCUCCUGAAAGAUCCACUAUGCCACCAUGCACCGCCACCGCCUCCGCCGCAGCUGCCGCCGCCACCACCACCACCACUGUGAGUCAGGCUGAGUAUUGUAAUUAUUAUGGUUAUUAUUAUUGUCGCUAUUUGCUUAUCCCGAAGUCUAAUAUUCAUGGCUGGUGUUCCCCAUAAAUCCUUCAGAUUAAUGAGUCAAAGAGAGAUGUUGCCUAGGUCUCUACCUCUGCAAUGGCCGCUGCCGCGCCGCCGUGGCCUUUUUCUCCGCGGUUUUGGCGUUCGCUUGCUCCCUCGCUAGCCCGGCGCGGUUGAUUUAUGAACGCCCGGAAAAUUGAACAAAGCUGCGCGCCCGUCCUGUGGUAUCUCUGCAGCCUUCCCCAGCGUGAAUCUGAACAUUACCAACUGUCUGCGCAUCCGUCCCACUUCAUCACCAAAGCCAGGAUGUGACCACAAAAAAGAAAAAAAACCAACAACCCAAGCCCAAACUCACGUUUCCCCGACACAGCGCGCUCCCUGGACUCGCAGAAACCCUGCAGAAAAGCACCAGGACCCAGCCUGAGCCCGCCAGCUCUGGUUCUCCUAGCCACAGGGCUCUCUCCUUCCUUCCUGAAGGAGUUAAAAGCCUUUGAAGAUAAAUCUGAGGAUGCGUGUAUUUAAAAAUCAAAUAGGAAGUUGGAGUCUCACUUCAGAGAUUCAUUCCUAGUGAGGCCCUGACUACUCCGAUCCAUUCCUGACGAUCUGCAUUAAUUAUUUAAUGAAUCACGUGACCUCGGAGAUUACAAUUUCAAUAUCUCCCUGGAACAGGCGUUACACCUUUAUCAGCUGCAACCAGGGUCCGUGUUUGGUUUUUUGUUCCCUAGGCCUCUGGAGCACAUUCACCCUUGUGUUGAUGGGGCAAGCAACCGCCAAAGAAAUUACGGGUAGAACACAGCAGAAUUAGUCAUUAUGGGGUGAGGAGCGUUGUGGACAGUAGGGAGCUCACUGCUCUCCAAGGCAUCCUGAAGUCCAUCAGCUCCUGAGACCAGUGGUCAGCCACCUGUCUGAGUGCCAAGUCUAGGGCAGUUUGGUUACAUAAUCUCCCAAGGCAGCUUUUCAGGUACAUUGGGUAAGAACUUACCCUUCCAAAUCCAGGUUACACACACUCCUAGCCUUUCACAUCAAGGGUAAACCCAAAUACAUACUGUAUCCCAUUCUCUUGGAGGAAUAGCUUCUGCUUUGAAAAAAAUGACUGAGUUUACCACAUCCGUGUCCAAGGUGAGAUUAAAGGCUUUUCUCAGCCUACACACUCAUUAACAUAAGAAACGUUGGGAAGUGGAAUAUUCAACUGCCUCAGUUUCCUCAUAUGUAAACUGAGAAGACUGAACCCAAAUGGCUUCCAGGUCUCUUUCAACUUGGACAGUCAUUCAUUCUGGAUUCUCCUUCAACUCUAGGAAGCAUUCUAGAGAGAAGGGGGCUGGCCUGAAAGGGAAGAGGGUGUGCUGAGUGAGUCUGGAGCCUUCAGAAGAGAUGCCAGAAUUCCAAGCCAGAAGUUGCAGACUAGAAGGUUUGAUGACUUAAUGCUAUCAAGGAGACAGAACACACAACUCCCCCCCCCUUCCUGCUCCUCCUCCUCCCUCCAUUGUUUCCAGAUCCAGAGCUUAUCCUUCGAGGUGCAAAGCAGUUACUCUUGGAGCAGUAUGUUGUGGAGAAAAGGUAUCAAGAGCAUCAGUUAGGAAAGAUGAGCUUGAGUUCUUCAAGCCCGAGGGUGCCCGGGAAUGCAGAGACCAAGGAGGUGCCAAAGAGGCCCUAUUGCUUGCACAGAACCCACUCAUUCAAAUGGGAAGCCCCAGGUUUCUAUUCGCUUCAUUCAUUCUUUGGAGGUUUUCUUUCAUUUUAGAGAGUUGAUUUGUUUCUGUGCUGGCACAACUAGAAGGAAGGCAGCAGUAAGAAAAGCAACACAGUUUGGAAGUUUUGGGGGAUCUAGGGGCUCAGGAGAUAUGGUGAUUCCCAUCCCUUAGGGAGAAGGGUGAGAAGUAGGGAGAAUGGGGCACCCUGGGACAGCUGGAUAGAAAGGCAGAUAUUGUGCAGCAGGCCUACCCCCAUAUAUUUAGGGAAUCUUCCCACGAGCUCCAUCCUGGGUAUUAAGUACUCUACUAUGCCCGUCACAGUUGAAUUCCUGCUGUAAUAAAACACCGGGUAUAUGGUAGAUUUCAGCAAAACUAGGGAAAAAAGCCUGCAAAGUGCCAUUUUUCUUCAAGGGGGAGAGUGUUAAGUACUUAAUUCAAACUGUGACCAUUAAAGUGUCUCCUAUCCGACUUAGGCUGAUUUCAGAUGUUGACAAAACUUUUAUCUCCAGAGUCAUGCACAGCUUGGCUCUGAGACUAAAGCAGAUGAGUGUGUAUUAAAGAGAGGGAGGGAUAAAGAUGGAGAGAGCAGGAGAGCAUGUGUAAAGGUCAUCAUAACAGGAGAAAUACAGAGCUUACACAAAAUACUGUCUUUAAAGGUCAAGGGUUUGAGGGGUUAGUAAGGUUUACCUUAAAAAAAAAACUAAUGAGAUAGAAAAUUUGUCCUCUCAAUGAACUCUUAUGGUUGUCCUAGCAGAGGGCAGACAAUGCAUGAUUUUGAAGCACAAAGAGAGAUUUCUUAAGCUGUUAUUACAAGCUCCCUUAAAGGCAAAAUCUGAAACAGACAAAACAUUGUGAAGAAAUGACAUAAUCAGUUGGAUCACUUUUGAUAAUUUUGGUUUAUAAAGCUUACCAAUAUCUUACCAUUUUGAAAAAAUGCCGCUUUAUUCUAGAAUAUCACAAAAAUGGUCUCAACCCUCUCCUAUUCUGGAUAGACUACAAGAGCAAGAGAAAGAAAUCACUCCCUUUAUUUUCAUACUACUGCCUCCAGCACGAAGCUAAUGAAUUUCCCUAUACCCUUCCUCCCCACAAAGGAGAAAUAUAAGAAUUUACCUUAAAUGAUGAUAAUCUGCCAUUUGAGGUUUUGCAGCUUGACACUCAAUUUCCACCAAGAGUCUAGGUAUUUUUUUAUUUUAGCAGAUAGCCAAGAUGCUAUGUCUUUGCCUGAGACAUUAUUUGCAAGAAGAUCUCUCUCUCCUUCACAGACUUUUCCCAGAGAAUGCCUUUCAGAAUUGCUGUUGAAUUACAAAGAAGUAUUUAUUGUAUGAGGUGAUUAAUGAUUCCUGGGAAAAUUGCUAUUUUCAGCAUGAUUUAAUUUCGUUUUACAAGUGCGUGUAUAGGGGGAGGGUUAAUAAGUUUCAGCAGCAGUUGCAUUGCCUCCAGAAAUGCCUGGCACCCAUUCACACCUUAUUAAAUGCAUUUUAUCCCAGGUUUUUCCUGAUUUGAG